UGCAGUGAAUCAUCUGUGCAUGGUAGGAAAACGCACCAAUCGUUGGGGGUUUUCAGACCUUUCCAGGCAAACCGAAGAAGCAGGAGCCGGGCGUGGAGGGACUGAAUCCUACUCAGCAUCCUGUGGGCUGCCCACUCGCAUGGCACGGAGCCCUGGGGAUGCCAUAUGGUGCUUCACCGAGCCUCCAGGACGCAGAGCUGGGAGGGCCCCUGAGGCAGUGGGCACGGAGCGGUGGUUCAUCGGGUCACGGGAACACGCCGGCAGCGGGCACUAGGGGGCUGCACGCUCCUGCUGUUGCUGUCGGAGGAGCUCAGAGAGCGGCCGUUCUGCUAUGGGCUCGAUGACCCGAUGGAGAGAGCAGCGUAACUUCGGAAAACCAUCCACUGCGUACCUGAGGUGGUGGCUUUUUUUUUUUGUUCCUAAAUAUGAGUUCCUCUUACAGCUAUCAGGAGGAAAUUAAAGCGCCCUCUGGUACAGCA